rnacentral:lncRNA from 1 species
AACAAACAACGAGGUUUAUGAUUUCUUGAAAAGUUUGGCUCGUGCCAAAAUCAUUCUCAUACUUAGUUAUUAGGGAUACCUUGACCGAGGGCUAUCCUAACCGAGUCCGCCAAGGUUGUUAAAAAGUUAUGUACACAUAAAUCAUGUUUUUAUUUUGAAAACAUAGCUGUUCCUUAGCGUUGGCUGAGUUCACCCUCACGUGGUGGUUUGGCUUGAAGUGAACUGUAAAGUUUUAACCUCAGGAGUUAUCCAACCGUGCCUCUCAUACUGAGGUAUGAAUAUAAUAGGGUUACUGUGCCCCUUUAAUAGGCUGGUCCACGGAGCCCGUCCACUGCAGCGACCAAUUUAUAACCCACUAAUUCAAUAAAAUUCAACAGCAUGACAUGGCAAUUUUUUUGUUUUAUAGCAUCUCAAGGCAAAUCAACAAUUCAUACUUUUUCAGCACAUUUACCAAAUCCAGCCACUGAUGCCAAUAUUAUCAUAAGCCAUUCAAUUCAAACCAUGAUUUAUAACACAACAAUUAGUCUCCAAUUACUCCAUUUUCAAAACCAUCUUUCAAUUUCAAGACAAUUUUAUUAAAUCAUUUCAUUUAAUCACAUUUUGUUUAUAAAACAUAAACAUUUACCAUUUAAACUCAUUUUUCAUAAAAUCACAAAAUCGGAUAAAAACCACUUUAGAUAAUUAAGAUGAUAGUAAGGUUACUCACUAUAAUGGAAAUCAAGUUCCGAGUACUCCGAUUCUUGAUCCUCGGGUACUAUCUCUUUACUUUUGCUAGAAUGCUCACCACCUAGACAUAAUGCACAAUAAGCCAUUUACUACAUUUGUGAUAAAUUGUUAUAAAACCAAUUUAGGCUCUAUACUAAUGCAUGAAAUGGGAUGUGAAAUUCUCGGGUAACUAUCUAAAUACGGUGUUCAAUAUAAAUUCAAUUAUGUACCUAAAUAAAAUGGUAUUGGCCUAAUUCGAUCUAUCACCCGAUUAAUUGGUCAAUCCAUCCAAUUCAACUCCAAAUAAUUUCAUUUUUCUCCCAAUACUCCAAAUCAUUAAACACAAAUUAAAGAACUUGAAAUAUGGCAAAAUCAUCCUCACAUUUUCUCUUGAAAAAUUCGGCCAUGGUGGGUGCAUCAACACUAUAAUUUUUCAAGCUUGAUUCUCACACCAUAAAUCACUAAUUUCUAACCAAAUCACUUGAAAUAAAAUCAAAAUCAUCAUCAAUAUUCUACAUGGAGAAUUCGGCCAAUGAUGGGUGAUGGGAGGAAGUGAAUUUUUCUUGUUGGCUUUUCAUGUUACACAUCACUAACUAACUAAAAACACUAGAAUAUCUUAAAAUCUAACCAAAACAACCAUCAAAAUCUCUCUCUAAGUGUUCAGCCAGCAAGAGACCCAUCAUGAUUUCAUGUGAUUCAACCAUGAAAAAUAAGAAAAAAUGCUUAAGAAAGAGAGAUCUCAAGCUUAAUUGAAAAAUCUUACCUUUUUUUCACUUGUUUCCUUGAAUUUUCACACUUUUCCCUUGAAUUUUUCCACCUAGGGUUUUGUUCUUCCUUUUCUUCCUUUGUUCUUGCUUUGGCC